rnacentral:rRNA from 1 species
UAAUACGUAGGGUGCAAGCGUUAUCCGGAAUUAUUGGGCGUAAAGAGCUCGUAGGCGGUUUGUCGCGUCUGCUGUGAAAACUGGAGGCUCAACCUCCAGCCUGCAGUGGGUACGGGCAGACUAGAGUGCGGUAGGGGAGAUUGGAAUUCCUGGUGUAGCGGUGGAAUGCGCAGAUAUCAGGAGGAACACCGAUGGCGAAGGCAGAUCUCUGGGCCGUAACUGACGCUGAGGAGCGAAAGGGUGGGGAGCAAACAGGCUUAGAUACCCUGGUAGUCCACCCCGUAAACGUUGGGAACUAGUUGUGGGGACCAUUCCACGGUUUCCGUGACGCAGCUAACGCAUUAAGUUCCCCGCCUGGGGAGUACGGCCGCAAGGCUAAA